CGCAUCUGUGCAUGCAGCAUAUCAAUAAGCGGAGGAAAAGAAACUAACAAGGAUUCCCCUAGUAACGGCGAGUGAAGCGGGAAGAGCUCAAAUUUGAAAUCUUAAAGGGUUUCCCUUUACGAAUUGUAGUUUAAAGAAGUGUUUUCUGUUGAGGUUUUGGUAAAAGUUCUUUGGAAUGGGACAUCAUAGAGGGUGAGAAUCCCGUAUUUGACCUUUACUUUCAACUUUGUGAUACACCUUCAAAGAGUCGGAUUGUUUGGGAAUGCAGUCCAAAAUGGGUGGUAAAUUUCAUCUAAAGCUAAAUAUUGGCGAGAGACCGAUAGCGAACAAGUACCGUGAGGGAAAGAUGAAAAGAACUUUGAAAAGAGAGUUAAACAGUACGUGAAAUUGUCAAAAGGGAAGCGUUUGACACCAGUGUUGUUUUUCUGAAAAUCAAUUAAAGAACUGUUUAUGCUAAGCUGUUUAGACUUUAUCAGCUAACUGUUUAGUUUUGAGCUUUUCUUUAAUGCACUUUUCAGUUAACAAGUCAACAUCAAUUUCUUUUGCUGUAAAAAAGCUUGAGGAAGGUGGCUUGAGAUUCGUCUUAAGUGUUUAUAGCCUCUUGCCUAUGCAGUCGGAGAGAUUGAGGUCUGCAGCGUAGAUCCUUCGGGGCUAAAUGCAUUUGUGCUAAGUUAUAGCAUUUUAUAGACAACUUGUUGACUAUGAUUUGUCUUGUAGCUUACUCGCUUAUGUUAUUUUACCUACGCUUAGGAUGUUGAACGCGCACAGAGUCUC
rnacentral:rRNA from 1 species